rnacentral:rRNA from 1 species
GACGAAGGACCCAAGCGUUAUCCGGAUUCAUUGGGUUUAAAGGGUGCGUAGGCGGAUUAAUAAGUCAGUGGUGAAAGCCCAACGCUUAACGUUGGAACUGCCAUUGAUACUGUUGAUCUUGAAUAUGUUUGAUGUGGGCGGAAUAUGACAUGUAGCGGUGAAAUGCUUAGAUAUGUCAUAGAACACCGAUUGCGAAGGCAGCUCACAAAGCCAUUAUUGACGCUGAGGCACGAAAGUGCGGGGAUCAAACAGGAUUAGAUACCCUGGUAGUCCGCACUGUAAACGUUGAUUACUCGCUGUUGGCGAUACACUGUCAGCGGCUAAGCGAAAGCGUUAAGUAAUCCACCUGGGGAGUACGAUCGCAAGAUUGAA